rnacentral:pre_miRNA from 1 species
CUACUACUCCCUCCGUUCGGAAUUACUUGUCGCGAAAAUGGAUGUAUCUAGAUGUAUUUUAGUUCUAGAUACAUCCAUUUCCAAGACAAGUAAUUCCGAACGGAGGGAGUACAUA